rnacentral:rRNA from 1 species
GACGAACGCUGGCGGCGUGCUUAACACAUGCAAGUCGAGCGGUAAGGCCCUUUCGGGGGUACACGAGCGGCGAACGGGUGAGUAACACGUGGGUGACCUGCCCUCAGCUCUGGGAUAAGCCUGGGAAACCGGGUCUAAUACCGGAUAUGACUCCAUGACGCAUGUUGUGGGGUGAAAGCCUUGUGCGGCUGAGGAUGGGCCCGCGGCCUAUCAGCUUGUUGGUGGGGUGAUGGCCUACCAAGGCGACGACGGGUAGCCGGCCUGAGAGGGCGACCGGCCACACUGGGACUGAGACACGGCCCAGACUCCUACGGGAGGCAGCAGGUGGGGGUCUUGCGCAAUGGGCGAAAGCCUGACGCAGCGACGCCGCGUGAGGGAUGACGGCCU